GUACUAGCCUGCCGAUUCCUCCUUCUUGUAGAACUGUAAUGUCAUUAAUUUGGUGUUGCAGGGAAACAGGACUGUUACUUUGAAAAAAUUAGAGUGUUUAAAGCAAGCUAACGCUUGAAUACAUUAGCAUGGAAUAAUGAAAUAGGACGUUAAUCCUAUUUUGUUGGUUUCCAGGAUCGACGUAAUGAUUAAUAGGGAUAGUUGGGGGCAUUAGUAUUCAAUUGUCAGAGGUGAAAUUCUUGGAUUUAUUGAAGACUAACUACUGCGAAAGCAUUUGCCAAGGAUGUUUUCAUUAAUCAAGAACGAAAGUUAGGGGAUCGAAGACGAUCAGAUACCGUCGUAGUCUUAACCAUAAACUAUGCCGACUAGGGAUCGGAUGAUGUUAAUUUUUUAAUGACUC
rnacentral:rRNA from 1 species